AGACGUGCGCAGGCGGUAUGUAAGACAGAUGUGAAAUACCCCGGGCCUCAACCUGGGAACUGCAUUAGUGACUGCAUAGCUGGAGUACGGCAGAGGGGGAUGGAAUUCCGCGUGUAGCAGUGAAAUGCGUAGAUAUGCGGAGGAACACCGAUGGCGAAGGCAAUCCCCUGGGCCUGUACUGACGCUCAUGCACGAAAGCGUGGGGAGCAAACAGGAUUAGAUACCCGUGU
rnacentral:rRNA from 1 species